rnacentral:lncRNA from 1 species
GUGGGGCCCGGCUGCAUUCGAUCUCAGCGCCUCACUUUGUUUCUUGGUCACAUCGCAGCUGUGGUUUGCGUACGUGUCUCCGCGGGUCCAUGUGUUAAGGGGCGUGGUUUUGCUCUGAACGCCCUCCUGCCGCCAGGUGCUGCUUCGCUCAGGCCCAGGGCAUCGGGGCCAACUGAUCACGAGCUGAAACUUCCAAACUGUUCUGAAGGAGGCCUUAGUCCAAGUGGAUCUCGGGUCACAGGCUUGUUGGAACCGAGCAGGAUGACCUAAACACUAUGAGAGGCCCAUGAAACAGCUGCCCUUGCCUGGAGCCCCGCAGGAAGGCCUCGGCAGCACCUGCCCCACACCGCUGAGACCCCUGCUCUCGGGACCCACCCCACCCACCCACACAGCAGGCCCACAGUGGGUGUGGCCGGCCCUUGGUGAAUUAGUGCCUGAAAGAGAAAUCUGUCUGCUAUGCUGGGAUGUGUCAGAGAAGCUGUGCUCUCAGAAUAUGUACUUGGGAUUCAAAACUGGGUGGAAAUAGGAAAUUCUUUGUUCAGAACAAAAAUAGCACAAGUCAGCAGAAACAGAACUGGUGAAGCCGCCAGUUCCCGGGGCUCUGGAGGCCCCCAGGCAGCUGCCUUUGCUCAGCAGCCCGAUGGUGUGAGGGGCGUGGUGAAGGGAGUGCAGCAUGAGGGCCCCUCUUCCUGGCUCUGCCACCCAUGCACCAUGUGGCCUUUUCUUUGCUCCUUGGCUUCCUAAUUUUGCAAGGAGCUGGAUGGAAUAAAGGUACAAACCCCGAGCAACCGCCUUCAGUGAUUUCUAGACAAGGAAUCCCUUGCUCUCUAUCAAAGAAGAGUUUUUGACUGUUUCUUCUCCCCACAG